CCGGUAACUUUAGCGUCCUGCCGGGGAAAAAAAAACGAGGUAAAAAUUGUUGGCUAGGCCAAGUUAAGACAAGGAUGCAAGACACCUGGCCGGCUCCCAAAACUUGGCCUUAAAAAGGGGGGGGGGGGGGGAAGCCUGCAAAGCCCUGGGAGCCUGCGCAGUGAAGCGACGCGCGCAGCAGCUUUCCCGCCGGUUCCGUGCGCGGCACGGAGCUCGGGCCACACCGCGGGGGUGGGGCGCCCACGGCCCCGUCUUUGCCGGCUGGAAAAGGAAGUGCCGGAAACUUGGAGCCCCGGCCAGAGUACAACGUGUCCACCUCGGAAGAGGCCCCUCUUCUGUGAGUGGUGCUCUUCCCUUUCUAGAGUGCUUGGAGUGGACAACCAGGGUGACUGAUUGGACAUGGCAUUUGGUACACAACUGACGCAAGGAAUAUCCUAGAGAUACCCCUCCUGCUCUGGUGGACUCAGCAUGGAAGGAAGGUCAGCAGCAGCUCAGAUUGAAUGCAUCAGAUUGAAUGAGGAGUUCUGAUGAUGAAUGGGAACAAUGCUGAUCUCCAAGAAGACCCUGGAAGAGCCCCCCUGUCCUUGGAACUAAGUCACAACCCACCCCGCAACUGAUGAAACCACCACACUGAGCUGGGUUUGAAAUGAGCUGGUGCAAGCUGCGCCUCCCCUCCCUCUUCCUGGUUCUGCCUAAGGGCUCUCCAUCUGGAAGCACUUAAAAUGUACAACAAUUUUAAUCCCAGGCAAGAAGAGCUCAGGAUGCACACACCAUACCCAUUAAGCUACAUGUGCAGCACAUACUCCUGGUUUGCACAAUUCUCUCUGGCCUCCACGUGCACACGCUGUCUUUCCCAGUUACUUUCCCCACUCUCCGCUAUCUGAAACUACCUCAACCCGAGGCCCAACCUUUCGCACAGAAGCUCCGGCCUCUGCUGUCACUGCUGCCCUGGGCUCUGAGACAAAGGAGCCUUCCGUAGAGCCCCUUGAAUUAGGCCUUCGUGGGUGCUUAGGAUCCUGACCAAGGGCAGUCCUGUGAACUCCACCUCUCCUUGAUAGAGCUGGGUACAAGUACCAGCUUGUUACCUUAUAACUGCAUGACUUUGGCAGAAUUACUGUUAUAUUUCCUGUGUCCCAGUUUCCCAAUCUGUAAAAUGGGUAUAAUAAUUAUACUCACCUCAAACAGUUGUUGUAAGGAUUAAAUGAAAUACUGCCUAUGAAAAUGUGGGUACAAAGGAUCAGAAAUACUGCUCAAAGGGUACAAAGUUCAGUGAGGAGGAAUAAGCUUUAGAGAUCUAU